rnacentral:tRNA from 1 species
UGGACUAUAGUCAAGUGGCAGGCAUCGGACUUUGAAUCCGUGUCGUUGGUUCGAAUCCAGCUAGUCCAG